rnacentral:misc_RNA from 1 species
GAACAACCAUUGUCACACUCCACUCAUAAUACACUGUGUUGUCUUAUUCCCCCUAUUGAAAAUUUGAAACUUUGUCUAAUACCACGGAUUGAUCCAAGCUACGCAGCUCAGUGACGCAAUCAGAUCAGAGACGGAGCAAGCACCUCAAGGAUUUGCCUUUCUUCAGUAGUUCAAAGGCCUCAUUUAUCUUAUCAAAUGGUAGCUCGUGCGUUAUGAAUCCACUCAGAUUGAUUUUGUUUUCCUCUUUCAUGCACUUCUCCACGAGUCCCGGCAGCUGUGACUUCCCCUUAAAUCCUCCAAAAACACAUCCGACGAUAUUCCUCCCAUGGAGCUCCAUUGGAUGCAAAGGAAGCAACCUUGGAGUCGGAUGGAUCCCCAGAACCACAGUCAGACCUCCACCAUCAUGAGUUGACAUGAAAGCCUCUCUGAGGACAUCCAAGUUCCCAGCACACUCAAAACUGUAGUCGACACCCCCUUUGCUCAUCUCGCGGAUCACCUCAUGUAAUGGCUUUGUAUAUUUGGAAGGGUCGAUAAAGUUGGUAACGCCCAUCUCCCUCCCUUUUUCUGCCUUCUCAGAAUUGAUGUCAACCCCAAUAAUUUGUGAAGCCCCUCGGAAUCGUGCUCCUUCAGCAACCGCGAGGCCAACCGCGCCCAGACCGAAGAUUGCCACAGUCGAACCCUCCUCCACGUUUGCAGUGUUCCACGCAGCUCCCACCCCUGUCGAGACACAACAGCUGAGAAGGCCCAUGUGCUCCAACGGUGCCUUUUCAUCAAUCUUCACAACACAGGCCGAGUCCAACACUGUAUACUCAGCGAAAGUCGAUGUAUUCAGAAAAUGGUACACCGGCCGACGUUCACCAUCAGCUCCGACCACCGAGAACCGCGGCCGACCGUCGGUCAUGACGCUCUUGAACGGGUUGACUCGGAAACUAUGACAGAGGUUUGUUUUAUCAGACUUGCAGCAUCGGCAUUCUCCGCACUCGCCAGUAAAGAUAGGGAUCACAUGAUCGCCAACUUUCAUAUCGGUCACCCCGUCACCGACACUCUCCACAAGACCGCUGGCUUCGUGGCCUAAAAUUCGCGGGUACACCCUUUGCGCCUCAUUCUCGCCCUUCCAAGCACUGAGAUCUGUAUGGCAGAUCGAGGUAAACAAGAUCCUGAUCCGGACCUCCAUCCUCUGCGGCGGCUCCACCUGCACCUCCUCCAUCACGAAUGGCUCCUCUGGCCCCCAUACCACCGCAGCUUUGCAGGUGAUGA